UCGAGAAUCUUCGGCAAUGAGCGCAAGCUUGACCGAGCGAUGCCGCGUGCGGGAUGAAGGCCCUCGGGUUGUAAACCGCUGUCGUAGGGGAGUAAUGGUCAGGGGGUACUCCCUCUGAUUUGAACAAUCCUAGGAGGAAGGACGGGCUAAGUUCGUGCCAGCAGCCGCGGUAAGACGAACCGUCCAAACGUUAUUCGGAAUCACUGGGCUUACAGAGUUCGUAGGCGGUCUGGAAAGUUGGGUGUGAAAUCCCUCGGCUCAACCGAGGAACUGCGCUCAAAACUACCCGACUCGAGGGAGAUAGAGGAAAGCGGAACUGAUGGUGGAGCGGUGAAAUGCGUUGAUAUCAUCAGGAACACCGGUGGCGAAGGCGGCUUUCUGGGUCUUACCUGACGCUGAGGAACGAAAGCUAGGGGAGCGAACGG
rnacentral:rRNA from 1 species